UACAGAGGGGGCAAGCGUUAUUCGGAAUUAUUGGGCGUAAAGAGCUCGUAGGCGGUCUGUCGCGUCUGCCGUGAAAACCCGAGGCUUAACCUCGGGCUGGCGGUGGAUACGGGCAGACUAGAGGUAGGUAGGGGAGAAUGGAAUUCCCGGUGUAGCGGUGAAAUGCGCAGAUAUCGGGAGGAACACCGGUGGCGAAGGCGGUUCUCUGGGCCUUACCUGACGCUGAGGAGCGAAAGCGUGGGGAGCGAACAGG
rnacentral:rRNA from 1 species